rnacentral:rRNA from 1 species
AUGGACCCGCAGUCGCACUCGCACUCGCAGUCGCACUCGCCACCGCCAGCAGCUGACGACGACCCCGACGCGAUGCCGAGGGAGCAGCAGCAGCGGGAGGAGGCGCCGCCGGGCUACGUGCCGCCGAUGAGCCCCGAGGAGGUGGCGGCCGUCGAGGCGCUCCUCUGCUACGAAUUCAAGGACAAGUCCCUGGUCGGGCUGGCCCUCACGCACGGCUCCUUCUACUUGCCCUACCGCUCCGGCGACGCCACCUACGAGCGGCUCGAGUACCUGGGCGACGCCGUGCUCACCUGCCUCGUGUCCCGGGAGGUCUUCCUCACCUACCGGGACCUCCCGCCCGGCCCGCUCACGCGCCUCCGCGCCGCCAACGUCGACAAGGAGAAGCUCGCGCGCAUCGCCGUCGACCACGGCAUCCACCGCUUCCUCCGCCACAAGGCGCCCAAGCUCGAGGAACAGAUUGCUGAUUUUGUGAAAGAAUUGUGUCAGUAUGAAUACCACUCCAAUGGGCUAUUGGAUGCUCCAAAAGUGCUAUCUGACAUCGUGGAAUCUCUUAUUGGUGCCAUAUAUCUUGACUCCAAGUACAAUCAAGAGCUAGUUUGGCAGGUUUUUCGAAAGUUGGCUAAUCCACUUAUUAGCCUUGAGUCAUUAGGGAAGCAUCCAGUAAGCGAGCUAUUAGAGUUUGGCCAAAAGACUGGUCGAAUAGUGGAUAUCUCUAAAGAUGGGUGGGUUAAGGAUACGAAGGUUGAUGUAUUUGUUGACGGUGUGCUGGUUGCAAGCGCGACUUAUGCUCAAAAGAAAGAGAUAGCUUCAAACCGCGCCGCGAAGGCUGCUCUAGACAAAUUGAAGGAGAUGUCGGGGCAAUCCGAUGUUCUAUCAGCCCCAGGAGAAGCUCCCGAGCCGUUGGACGAAUUGGGUCGUGCUGGAGCUUUAGAGCUCCAGUGA